AGAGUUUAAAGAGCAGCUGGAAAGAAACGAUGCUGGGUGGUACGAAACAAAAUUGCCAUGGAAGGGCAACCAUCCUACAUUACCAUCGAAUGAGAGAGGGAGCAAAAGACGAUUAGAUCACUUAAUUCGCAAACUAGAGAAGAAUGAUCAGUACUCAGAGUAUAACGAUAUAUUACAAGAUCAGCUGCAGAAAGGGGUAAUCGAGAUUGCACCAAGAGAACCAACUGGGAAAGAGUUCUACAUCCCGCACAAGGGCGUAACAAGAAAGAAUGCUGAGAGUACGAAGCUGCGCGUUGUAUAUGAUGCAUCGGCGAGAGAGAACGUAAAUCAACCAUCAUUGAACGAUUGCCUACACCCGGGACCACCCCUCCAGAAUCGCUUAUGGGAUAUCCUAGUCAAGUCGAGAUUCUAUCCAAUCCUUCUUACGGGUGAUUUGCAAAAAGCAUUCCUU